UUCUAAAUACAGAGGUGUCAGUUGGCUAAAAAUUUUAAUAUAUAACAUAGCGUAUUUGUUGAGUACCAAAAAAAGCAUUGAGAACCUUGAGUCGAUAAAAAAUUUUGGUUAAAUUGAUAGAAAUGAUUAAGUACAGUACGGAAUAAAGCGACUAUAUAGAGCCUUAAUCAGCGAAUGAUAAAGCGAUAACAGGACCUGGGAGUAAGCGAACCGAUAUACGAUAUCAGAAAUUUUUAAAAAUUAUAUGUGUGUACAUCAGGCCUAGAAACAAGAAAUGGCAGAGCAAAUGAAUCGUUCCCUGAAUGGUUACAUCUGUUUCCUCGUUGCGUAGCUUGUUUUUAUAUUGCUUUUUCUGAGCUAUAUAAUUCUUUUUGACCAUGAAUGCGAUGAAUAUGAAGUGCAGUUAAAAGCAAAAAAAGUUGUACAAAAAUUUGAUCAAUUAUUAUCACCUAACAGACAGCGGUGUUGACGUCAUGGACCUGGCCAUCCGAAAAAUUCACUUUGAUGCACCUCAGAUCGAUAAGCAAAUAAAUGCGUACCUCGCAUAUUGCAUGUUAACAGGAAUUGUACUUUUUAUGUAUAUUUUUAUUACGAAGGAAUUUGCGCUUGAAGCAUUUUUUGCAGCGUUUAUAUCAUGCGUGGGAUGUUUCGUAUUGAUGGCUCAAUACCGGAUGCUUGUGAACAUGAACAAGACAUUGCCAGGGUGCAAUAUUACACGCGAAAGAAGAAUAGCCGAAUGGCUGUUGGCAUGUCUGGUUCUUCAAAUGUGUGUAUCGACAAUGCUGAUGUCAGGAAUUGAUUUAAAAGAUGACCCAUACAAGGAGAAGAACUAGCCUAGCCAAUAGAAAGAGGUGUGAAAAAAAAUAAACCUGCAACAAAGGCUUAUAGUUUUGGUGCUGUUUAAAAGACGAGGCAAACAGAGGGCGGUUAUAGAGCUUAGAUAGGCAGAGGGGGCAGAACAAAUGAAAAGAUAGUUCAAAAAAAAAGGUUUAGAUGGAUUGUUUUGUGUGUGAGAAAUCUAUGUAGAGAGGAGGCCGAGUGUACUGAUAUUCAGAAGAUACACAAAGGUGCUAAAGAGUAUGGGAGAAAAAGGUGUUUCGAAAUCAACCGACUUGCAGCGUCUAGGUGAAGAGGUUUGGUCGAAGGUUGAUAAGAUAAAUGCAGACCUUUUCAGCCUUACCUAUGGCGCGUUUGUUUGUCAGAUGUUGAAGGAUUUGGACAGUGUGUCUGAGCUCAAUACGCAGCUCGAGAAAAUGGGCUAUAACAUUGGUAUUCGCCUUGUCGAUGACUUUUUUGCGAGUUCUAGCAUCUCAAGGUGCCCUUCAUUGAGGGACACAGCUGAAAUCAUUGCUAAGGUGGCAUUUAAAAGCUUCUUGGGCGUUACGGCAAUCGUUUCGUCGUUUGACGAGAAGAAAUCAGAGUUUGUGCUUCAAUACGAGGAAAACCCAUUGACCAAUUAUGUGGAGCUUCCCGAAGAAUACAAGGAUAACAUGUGGUAUGCGAACAUCUUAUGCGGCGUAAUCAGGGGAGCUUUAGAAAUGAUACAAAUGGUAGUUGAGUGCUCAUUCAUCAAGGACACAUUGCGCGGGGAUGAAGUGACAGAAAUCCAAGUGAAGCUCAUCGAAAUUAUCAAGGAAGAUCUUCCGAGCGACGAGUGAGCGCACAUUGAGAAAAUAAA